rnacentral:rRNA from 1 species
GACGAACGCUGGCGGCGUGCUUAACACAUGCAAGUCGAACGAUGAAACCUAGCUUGCUAGGUCGAUUAGUGGCGAACGGGUGAGUAACACGUGACUAACCUGCCCCUUUCUCUGGGAUAACGCUUCGAAAGGAGUGCUAAUACCGGAUACUCACAUCGAGGCACAUGCCUUGAUGUGGAAAGUUUUUCGGAAAGGGAUGGAGUCGCGGCCUAUCAGCUUGUUGGUGAGGUAACGGCUCACCAAGGCGACGACGGGUAGCCGGCCUGAGAGGGCGACCGGCCACACUGGGACUGAGACACGGCCCAGACUCCGACGGGAGGCAGCAGUGGGGAAUAUUGCACAAUGGGCGCAAGCCUGAUGCAGCGACGCCGCGUGAGGGAUGAAGGUCUUCGGAUUGUAAACCUCUUUCAGUAGGGACGAAGCGAAAGUGACGGUACCUAAAGAAGAAGCACCGGCUAACUACGUGCCAGCCGCCGCAGUAA